rnacentral:lncRNA from 1 species
CUUAAGUUAGAGUAGUCCAUGGUAGGCCUUGCUAUUGCACAGUUUGUGUUUGUUUUGGUCAUUGCUUACGUUUACGUUCCCUAUUUACGUUCCUUAUGCCUGAAUCAUCCGGGGCGUUUUUAGAAUUCCAGGAAAAGUGAUAAUAGUUUAAAUGAAAACAGAUUUUCAUUAUGCGAGAUGGCAAGUAUUUCGAAUAUAUACUUUUAAAUGGCGUUUUAAUGCUUUUGAAUAUCAAAUCAAAUUUUUGUUUUGCCAUAAAACUUGCCAGAGCUUCAUAUGGGCCAACGGGCGCCUGUAGGAUUGAUUAGACACAGCGUUGCUAAACCCAUAGGGGAUUACAUGCACUGCUAAUUAGUACUACCAAAGGCAUGUAAAGAUUUAUUUCAUGAUUUUUAUGUAAAAGCUGUUCAGUUUUCAUACACUGAUUUGCAGACUUGUUUGUGUCUGUGCUCACAUAUGUGCAAAGUGGAGACUCUUCAUUAUUCUAUUAAAAUGAAUGUUAAAUUGAUUUGUGUUUUUGUCGAACAUAGACUUGGAAAGAAAGUGUACACAAAUCCAGUUUUCAAAAUAUUUGUAUUCCUCACAAGGCAAAACUUUCAGCUCAUCUACUUUUUGAUUAGUUUAAAAUUGGUAUUUCUAAAUCAUGUUCCUGUAUAGUUCAUUUUAUAAAUCUAGAAGUUAUAGUGGUUGUAAUUACAUGGGCUACAGCCCACAACACUACUUCCAUUUCAGCCGUGCAACAUGCAGGACAGGAUACAUUCUAAAAGUGAACUUUCAUGUGGUGGAUGGUCUUCAUUUUUUAUGGUUGGUACUCUCCAUGCACACAUAACAAAUCCAUCAAAUAUACCAUUGAAGAUGCAAAUUUAGAGAAUGAAACGUUAUUCGUUAACUACAAAUACCUAAAUUAUGGUUGGCCGUCAGAAUGCUAUACAUGCGAACUACUCUGUGGGAAGCAUGUGUCCGAUCCAUAUUUCCUUAAAACUCCUUUAUCUGGAUGUGCUGGUAUUUUCCAUUCAUUCGCAAUUACAGCUACCGCGUUUGCGAUGUUGAGAAGCUUCCGUAGUGAUGUAAAAAAUUUAAGUAAUAUUCCGCAUUGUAGCAAGUGAUGUUGUCUUUUACAACUAUUGAAGAGUUCACAAGCUGGUUUUGCCACACCUAUUCCUAGGUGUCAGCUUGAAUAGAAGUCUGGUCAACCAGAUUGAGUCAACACUUUAGUUAGGUCUAAAAAAAGCAUAGAUGCCUGGCUAUAUUUGAAUCUUUCUGUUUAGUUCUCAGGCAUAAAAUCUGGAGCCACAACUUUUCGAGGGAAAGCUGGUCUUAAAACUUAAAAGGCCUCUAGUCAUUAAUUAAUCACGUGGCCUUUCGACUUCACGGGAAAUGUUGGAAUAAUUUAUCAACAAGGAGUGUUAGGUAUAUACUCAACAUUUGAGCCUGACUGAAAGUUUCGUCAGUGCGUGGCUCUGUAUUACAUUCUGUUCUCCGCAUAAUAGCCACUGUAAAAGCUUUAGCACCAUUUCGUUGUUUCGAGCUCGUCAUAGAAAUAAUGGCGGAAAUAGCUGUUGGUAUAGUAUGAAGAAGAAGACCUGGAUUAUACGAUGACCGUAAAUACUGCGAUGUAGGUGGAAAUGCAUAGUUUCGCCUGCGAAUUUUGACGUUUUUACGACUGUUACCGUGCAGCAGCCGGCAGUAGCGAUACUUGCACGGUGAUUAUUUUCUGCAGCCAUUUUCGUCAUAUGAAGCUUUCGUCGGAGAGCCUUACAUAGUUUUAGAAACGGUUCUAAACUGGUCUUCUGGGCGGGGUUGCUUUGUUUUUCAAAGUUUUCUACAGUACCACCUUUUGUUAAUGAGCACGUUAAAAAGGUGAUGUGUAUCACUAAUUUUACUUGAAUCCGAAUCUCGCAGUUCUACUGAAAAUUAAAUUUGGGCGGCAAUCUUAGAAUUUAAAUUCUUGACGUCUGACUAUCAUUACGAAGCAUCUGGCCUGCAUUCUUAAAACCAAAGCAGUGGAUCUAUUUUCGUCGACAGAAAAGAAAUUCCCUAAUUAGUGCUGUUUUCUCAGUUUCUUUUUCCAUAGGUACUCCCUAAGCAAGUGAGUCACCUUAGCUUAAACCCCGCACCAGCUGAACAUUUUCCGAAAUGGUAUUGUCUAUAGAAGUCAUUGUUAAUUGCGUUUCUGUGUCGUGGAAUUUUAAUUCUCGGGAUCUUCUAUUGACAGUUUGAACCUUAAUCGCAUUUACUUAUUUUUUGUUUCUUAAUUAAUUUAUUGAGUUUCAUUUUGGUUUUGUUUUUGUUUCUUACAGUUGAUCUCAUUCUUCUUUUCAUACAAUGUACUAAAGGGAAUUUGUGAAGUCUGAAUUUUGUUAGGUGUUCCCGGAUAGUAUAUUCGACAGUUAAUUAGCCAUGUUUUGGCUGCUAUACUCCGGCUCAAGCACAAUCUUUGCGGUAAGCGUCAACAACUUUCGGAGAGAUUCUCUUCAAAUUUAAAUUCGAGCUUGGCCAAUCAAGUUCGCAAAUUCAUCCACUUAGGUCUUCAAACAUAUGCCAAGUAGUCCACAACGAAUAAUAGCCCGUGUAGAGCAUUCAUGAUAUCUAAACCCUCUUAGAAUCAGAUGUAUUGCCUGCAGGAGUUGUUUCUUAUGCUGCUAUUCCUCUAUUGACAUUGGAACAUUCCCGACAGGAAUUAAAAUGAACGUGAAUAUUCCAUCUCGGAUUUGUUGCACUCAUUUAGUAUUAGUACUGUGACGCGUUAUCGGCUGGAAAUGCGCUCCUGCGAGAUACCUUUUAAGGGCCACGAUCAAGAGCGAGGUUUGUCAACCAAAAUCACCUUACUCUUUAGAGAGCCACAAAUGCACACCUCAUUAGUAAAUAAAGAUUUGUUUUUUACGUUUGCCUUUAACACUAUCAAUUGAAGUGACAGCUUGCCUGAAAUUGUGCGGGAAAAAUAAAGCAGCCCUAUAAUCUUGGUGACCAGUUGAAAAGCUGUAACACUUAACUACGCUCUUGGCAUCUAGAGCUUUACAAGGAGUGCCUAUAGGAUAGGUAAGUUGAAAAAAUGGAUUUAAAGGGCCAUAAAAAUCACAGCUCAAUUUCAUUGGCUGGUGGGCUAGUUAAAGGAGAACGCCUUAGUCACCCAAGAGCAUGUUAACGCAUUGCUUGUAUUUAUUAGGACUUGUACUAUGACGUCAUUUAAGUACAAUAACAAUAACCCGAAACGAUAAAGGGAAGAAAAGCCAAUUAUGUGAUGACACGUUUUUUAUUUAAGACUUCAUUGUAUGGAGGGAAAAGAUUGCACACGAUGGUAUACUAAUGGCCUCGAAUAUUCCGUCAGUGAUAAGAGGCGAUUUGAACAUAUCCCUGUCUGAGGUUGGCGGUCAUCGUAAAUCCUUUCACCAGUUCCGAAAUCGUAACCAAUAGUUAUUGCAACUGAUGAGACGGGAACACAGGAACCGAAAAACCAAGCGAAGGGGAAAGAGUUGACUCUUAGCUUGACCCACUUCCAUUUGUUUUUCUUUCUUUGCGCCACCUUCAACAUGUAAACAAAAUAGAGGAAAAGCAAAGAAGAGAAGAGGACAGCACCGAAGUAAUGGCUUGAUAGGCGAGGAUGUGCCAAAACCAAAUAUGAGCCUAGCGGAAAGAAGCCAAAUGGUAGACAUAAGACAUACAUCGUUGUAUAAUGACAUCAUUGCAUUAUUUUAUUUCUUACGUCUGUUUGCAGCCAUGUAGGUAUUACUGUAAAUACAGUUUUCCUUUCCUUGAAGCUUCCCAAUUUUGCAUGUGGCCUCGGAAGCACCUCGGGGCAGUUCACUAACGUUUUUAAAGAGAAGCCCUAUGGCCUCAUUUUGCUAUUUCUAAAAAAGUCUAAAAUCAACCGAAUUCGCACGUGGUCCUCGUAACGUGGACGCAGAUCAUAUAAAUGCGGUACUUUUUGGGCAGAACGUACCAUUUGGUGCGACAUUGACCCACUUUGCAGUCGGUUUUGCAACUUGUCAGAACAUUCCUUCCUGGCUGUUUAUGUGGUGCCUGUGUUAUGUUCUGCAACAUAUUACCUCGAUGAGGUUGUCAAGAUCAAGUUUCUUUAUUUCUACAACAACAUUGAUUUUCCUUGAGCAUGAGUCUUCCUGGACUGCUAUAUGGUUGUAAAGCUACAUAAAUUAUUGGAUCUAACGGUAAGAUGUAUACUUUGGCUGCGUUAUCUUCCUCAGAAACGUGUUGAACACCUGGGUUUCCCGAAACGAUCCAAAAUCGGUUUGACCAACAAGUUUUUAUGGCCUUUUGAGAAAAGGACUGUCACUGAUCACCGCAACCCCUCGUUUUUUGUUAAAGCUCCAUACACCGCAUGGUGCAGCGAAUAUUUUACGCGAUUCAAAAGUUAUGAGUCUGCAUAAGCACAGUUGCGAAGUUCAAACAUCAAUUCGCGUACUGGAAACGCAAUGUUUGUGGAUACAGCGAAAGAGGAAGGCGCAUCCGUGGGUAUUUCGGCAUUGACCUACUAAUUGAAGCGCUCCUCCUUACAGUAAAUUUUCGCCACUAUCUUUUUUCCUUCUGGUGCGCAACAUUCUAUUUCUUUCUUGUUACAAUCCUCUGCGGUAUGACGAUUACAAAACAUUGGCUUGUGUUUGUUUACAUGUUCUUAAUAGCAUAAUUGAUUGGUCUUUCAUCCCAAGGCCGUAAUGUAAAACACAGCUAUAACAUCGGGUGCGCUUCUUUUUCCACAUAAGAUCAUGAACGAUUUUCAGAUUCAGCAAAGCUAAAUGAUGGCGUUUUUAAGGCUUCGUUAAACAAGUACAAGAAAGAGAUGGUUCAAAACUGAUACGAAUGGACAGGAUGAAAAUGAAAGCACGAUGGGUUAAGAUGGAU